rnacentral:rRNA from 1 species
GAUGAACGCUGGCGGCGUGCCUAAUACAUGCAAGUCGAGCGAACGGACGAGAAGCUUGCUUCUCUGAUGUUAGCGGCGGACGGGUGAGUAACACGUGUAUAACCUACCUAUAAGACUGGGAUAACUUCGGGAAACCGGAGCUAAUACCGGAUAAUAUUUUGAACCGCAUGGUUCAAAAGUGAAAGACGGUCUUGCUGUCACUUAUAGAUGGAUCCGCGCUGCAUUAGCUAGUUGGUAAGGUAACGGCUUACUAAGGCAACGAUGCAUAGCCGACCUGAGAGGGUGAUCGGCCACACUGGAACUGAGACACGGUCAAGACUCCUACGGGAGGCAGCAGUAGGGAAUCUUCCGCAAUGGGCGAAAGCCUGACGGAACAACGCCGCGUGAGUGAUGAAGGUCUUCGGAUCGUAAAACUCUGUUAUUAGGGAAGAACAUAUGUGUAAGUAACUGUGCACAUCUUGACGGUACCUAAUCAGAAAGCAACGGCUAACUACGUG